CGCUAUUCAUGUUUAGUCAGAAAUCGCACUGCAGCUGAAGCUUACUCUCAAGUGUGCACAAGAGACUGAAGCCUUACUUGAAAGGGGUGAAAUCCAUUCUUCUUUGCCGAGUAAACACAAGACACCACCAAGUUGAUGCAGAGAGAAAAAGCCUUUAAGAACUGGAGCCCCGUUUGGUGCAGAUGGCAGCCUCGGCGCACAAAGAUGGAGCGGGAAGUAUCUGUUACAGGCGAGGACUCUGCGAGCAGCAGCUGCAGAUGUUUGGGGGCCUAAAACCGCUCCAUGUGUUCGCACAAAGAAGGCCCCGUUUUCAUCGGGAAGAACGCCGAAACAGUUCCUCGUUUAUUUCACAUUUGACAAGCAGCUUUGCCUCUGACUCUUUCUGGUCCAAAGCCUUGGCCCCCCCGCGCCCUCCGCCCACCCCCAUUCCCUGCAUCUUAUAUCGGCCGUGGAUGAGAUUCAACCGAAUGGUGCCUUUACGAAACUUUAGAGCUGUGAAAAGAGCCCCAGAAAGAGCAGGGAGGUGGAAGGGAAAGAUGGUCUCCAAACAGCUCUUGGAAAUCCUCCUGCAUUCGCCAAGCCCCGGGUCUCUGUUCUUGCCUUUUUCUGUGGUCCCUACAGAUUUUAAUUGCUUCCUCUCUCGUUUUUUUAAUGGACUGUAAAUGAGAGCAUUUUAGCAGCUCCCAGUUUCGUUUAUUAGCCAGUCCCUCAUAAAGUUAAUUCACCAUCCGA